GCCCAGACUCCUACGGGAGGCAGCAGUGGGGAAUAUUGCACAAUGGGGGAAACCCUGAUGCAGCGACGCCGCGUGAGCGAUGAAGUAUUUCGGUAUGUAAAGCUCUAUCAGCAGGGAAGAAAAUGACGGUACCUGACUAAGAAGCCCCGGCUAACUACGUGCCAGCAGCCGCGGUAAUACGUAGGGGGCAAGCGUUAUCCGGAUUUACUGGGUGUAAAGGGAGCGUAGACGGCUGUGCAAGCCAGAUGUGAAAGCCCGGGGCUCAACCCCGGGACUGCAUUUGGAACUGUGUGGCUGGAGUGUCGGAGAGGCAGGCGGAAUUCCUAGUGUAGCGGUGAAAUGCGUGGAUAUUAGGAGGAACACCAGUGGCGAAGGCGGCCUGCUGGACGAUGACUGACGUUGAGGCUCGAAAGCGUGGGGAGCAAACAGGAUUAGAUACCCUGGUA
rnacentral:rRNA from 1 species